UACGGAGGGUGCGAGCGUUAAUCGGAAUUACUGGGCGUAAAGGGUGUGUAGGUGGUUUGUUAAGUUAUCUGUGAAAUUCCUGGGCUCAACCUGGGGAGGUCAGAUAAGACUGAUAGACUUGAGUAUAGGAGAGGGUAGUGGAAUUUCCGGUGUAGCGGUGAAAUGCGUAGAGAUCGGAAGGAACACCAGUGGCGAAGGCGGCUACCUGGCCUAAUACUGACACUGAGGCACGAAAGCGUGGGGAGCAAACAGG
rnacentral:rRNA from 1 species